rnacentral:lncRNA from 1 species
AUGCUGCGCCCCGGGUGGGGGAGCCGCGGGCGGGCAGGCACCUGGAAGGAGCUGAGGAAGAGGUCGAAGAAGAGCUUGGCGAAGCGCAGGGUGCCCUGGGCGUGCUCGUCCGUCACGAAGGCGAAGACCACUUCGUGGACACCCAGCAGGGGGAUGAGGGUCAGUGUGGACUUGGCCAGCCUGCAGAGGCAGAGCCUGAGUCACCCACCACCCUCGCCCUCGGCCCGCACCAUCCACGUGGAGCUUGGAGUCCCCCCACCCAGCUGCCCUCUGGCCCUGAGGGUCUCCAGAUCCCGAGGCGCCGGCCCGCCGUGGCACCCACCGGAACUUGUAGUCUGUGUGGUGCAUCUGCCGCGCCCGCAGCUUGGCCACGAGCAGGUGAACAAUGCGGAUGAAGAUGAAGAAGUUGAUCUAUGUGAGAAGGGCACGAGUCAGGGGCACCCCGAGCCCCAGGAGACAGCUCUGUGCCCUUGGAAGGCCCCACCCGACCCUCCUGCAGGUGGGUCUGGCAGCCAGAUAGGCCCUGAGCCACAGAGCCCUGGGGCUGGUGGGCACCCAGCCAGGGAGGAGCAGCCUGGCUCAGUGCCUAGGGUGCUGGCCAGUGUCCUGGUGUCCUGUCUGGGUGCCGGCUCCCUCCUGGCCCUCCCAGGCAGGAUGCUGCUGUCUCCUGGGGCAGCCUCAGGACGCCAAGGGAGGAGGGCCCUGGCAUGCGGUCCUUGCUCUUCAUUUCCUCACCAGGAUGGCCAGGAAGACGGGGAACCGCAGGAUCCACCAGAAGUCCAUGUUGUUAUUGCUGGUCCAGCACCUGCGAGGCCGGGCCACUCACAAACUGGGGCACAGCCCCCAGCCCCUCAGCCCUCAGCACCCCCGUCCCGAUCUUGCCAGUAUCUAAUUCAGGCCUCAGGAAACGAAGGGAGAAGGUCACGAAUGACCACUCUCCCCAGGCACCAGGCUCAUCCCCGGCCCCUCCCUGCCUCGGGCCAGAGCUCCACACCCCAGCCCCCCGGCCCCUUUCCCGGGCCGUCCGGCCGCUCAUACUCACUGGAUGUUCUCGAACAGACACCUGACCACCACCCAGGGGAUGAUGAACAGCAUGGGGGCACCUGUGGGGGGCAGCAGCUGUGGUCUCAAGGCUUGGCUAGCCUGCCCCGACCCCUUCCCGUGCCGGCCCACUCACCCCAGCCGAUGCCCAGGUAG